rnacentral:lncRNA from 1 species
AUGCAAUUUCCAUUGUGCUUUGUCACCCUUUGAAAUUAUGUUGUGGGCAAUUGUGAUGAGUAGAUUGAUAAAUUGACAACUUAUUGGUCUUGUGGCAUCUAGGAUUUAAGUGUGGUAACCAUUAGCUAGCUUAAUUGUAGCUAAGCUUGCUUGGGUCUCUAUUAUCUUGCACUCUAGGCCUCUAAUUUUAGAUAUUGCGGCCUUAACCGGCGUAAUACCUAAAUUAGAGAGUUGAUUGUGGCCCUAACCGGCAUAAUCGAUACACCGAAAGGAUAAUUGGUUUAGUAGCCUUAACCGGUACUAGAUACGAGACUUGACACAUAUAGGAAAUGCAUGCAUUUAUGAAAUUGGCGUCGAUAUUUGCAAGAGAGUUAGUGUGAAUCACCCGACACUCCCAUAUUCCCAUUAAUUUGAAAACCCAAAUUUAAUUUUCUAGUUCGUUAAUUAGUUGUUUAGUUUACUUUUCGGUUGCGUUUAAUUUAGUUGAUUCCCAAUUCAAAACCCCCUACAAAUUUCGACUCAUUUGUGCAUAUCCACCACUAGGCUCUUAGUUUUGAUUAGGCUUUGGUGAAAACCAAAACCGAGCAUUGCUAGGGCUUGGUGCCUUAGAUUAACAUUUUUAUUUAUUUUCUUUUUCUUUUCUUUGUUUGCUAAGUGUCUUUAUUUCCGAUUACCCAAGGAUUGUGGGUUAGCCACUAAUCCCCGUGGUACGAUAAACUUUGGGCAUAAUAUUUCCCU